GCUUCAUGAGCAGGGCAAACAUUCAAUAACGGGCCUCUCCUCUCCUGAAGGCGGGUGCCAUGGGGCCUUCCUCACUCAGCUCACUCGGCUGUUGAGAAGCGGAAGAGUGGUAAUCAGGCAUUCGAAAGAGCCCUGGAGGGGAUCCAUUUCAGUGCUUUCCAUUUGUAAGAUUGGUUUCCAAUACUUGGAAUUCAUGGGGCGUCUGACUUAGUGGAGCACUCGACUCUUGAUCUCCAGAGUGAAAUGCAAACACACCUGUGAUUUUCAAUCAUUACUGUCUGGCGCCGUCUUUGGAAGCAAGCGACGAUGCAUCUUCGCAGAUUUGUGCCUUCUACUUUUCAAGUCCUCACAGACAUCACCAUGACUCCCACG